rnacentral:rRNA from 14 species
CUGUCGUCAGCUCGUGUCGUGAGAUGUUGGGUUAAGUCCCGCAGCGA